rnacentral:RNase_P_RNA from 1 species
AGUAGGAUAGAUGAUCGCGGGAUCACCUGGUGAUCGUGAGGAAAGUCCGGGCAUCGCAGGGCAGGAUGCUGGAUAACGUCCAGUUGAGGUGACUCACAGGAAAGUGCAGCAGAAAGUAUACCGCCUUUUUCAAUUUUGAUUAAGGUAAGGGUGAAAUGGCGAGGUAAGAGCUCACCGCCUGGCUGGUGACAGACAGGGCAUUGUAAACCCCAUCCGAUGCAAGACCAAGACGAAGCGUAGACGCUGCCCGCCGAGCUUCAGGUAGGUUGCUUGAACUCUGUGGCAACACAGAGUCUAGAUAGAUGAUCAUCCUAGACAGAACCCGGCUUACAGUCCUGCUCGUC